rnacentral:rRNA from 1 species
UAAGGUCUGACCUGCCCAAUGAAAUUUUAAAUGGCCGCAGUAUUUUGACUGUGCAAAGGUAGCGUAAUCAUUAGUUUUUUAAUUAAAAGCUUGUAUGAAGGGUCGGACGAGAUAAAAUCUGUCUUUAUUUAAUUCAGAAUAGAAUUUAACUUUUAAGUUAAAAGGCUUAAAUUUAUAUAAAAGACGAGAAGACCCUGUAGAUCUUUAUUUAAUUUAGAAUUUUAAUGAUUUAGGAUUAAUUUAGUUUAAAAUUUUAAUUAAAUUUUAUUGGGGUAAUAUAGAAAUUAAUAUAAUUUUCUUUAUUAAAAACAUUGAUUUAUGAAUUUAUGAUCCAUUAAUAUUGAUUAUAAGAUUAAGUUACCUCAGGGAUAACAGCGUAAUUUUUUUGGAGAGCCCUUAUCGAUAAAAAAGUUUGCGACCUCGAUGUUGGAUUAAAAAUUAUCUUGGGUGUAGAAGUUCAGGAUUUUGGUCUGUUCGACCA